UUGGUCUCUAUAUGAUACAGAUAUCUUGAAAGUCUGUAAAAAUUAUGAACAAUAUACUCGCAAUAAUCUCCUCCUAUAUAUCGACAGUUCAGCAAGUUGGGGAGCAUGCUUCAAAGGCAUUCUGAUAAUCAGUCCACAAUAGUUGAACGAUACAAGAUUCAUGGCUGACUGAGCAGCAAAUUCAAACCUUUUCUUUAUUUAAAUUAUGGAUUAGCAUGGUAAUCUAAUGACACUUUUAAAGGAAUAAUGGAAAAUCCUCCGGAUUCACCUGACUGUCUGCAAUCGAGAACUCAGGCCUCCAAUCCUUACACCUAGAAACUCCCAUCAGGAGGAAUGAAAAGAAUUUUGAAAGAGAAAAUCAAGAUCAUGCCUUCAGCACAUUCCCUUAAUUUAUCUUGAACCUCCAGAUUCAUCUAGAUCAUACAUAAGUACGGUGAUGAAAGCCGAAUCAUCUCUUCAUUGCAGAUUCGGCCAGUAUCUGAAUAGCUGAAUCCAUCGGAUAGCAACCGAGAACACGAGUAACAAUUACCAACUCCAGUAGAGGGGGAAACAGAAUAAAUUUUUAUGGAGUUCUUGUCUUUUGUAUUUGACGUGGAAAUUUCAGUUGACUGGAACGAGCUCCUUUGGGGCCAUCACAUAUUCCUCGAAACAGAUUUAUUCUUGGUUAACAAUCCCAUGUAGAUUGAUUAUGUACCAAGGAAAGGAAGAUACGCAUGGCCAGGAAGACAAAUUUAGAUUCUACUUUAUGCAAACAAAUGUUGGAAAACAGAUAUCCUUUAAAAGCCUUUUCAUAAUAUCUCAAAGGAACAUCUUCAUCUAUAAAUACUGGAAGCUGGACGUUGGAUGUCAACCUGACUUGCAAUGCCUUCCUAACAAGAACUCAUAAAGAAGACAGCUUCAUUCCCAAGGCCAGAAGAAAAAACAAGAAGGAACUAGACUAGCUUAAAAUUCAUAUAGUUUUCUAUUAUUUUUCGCAUGAGAUAUAUUGGCGAGCUUAUGGAAUUUGAUUAGAGUACAACAAGAAAAAUGAUUCAUUCGUAAACUAGCAAUCUUAACUGGUGUUCAAAUGUUUUAGAUAAGGGCUAAUUAUACUGAGAAAAAAAUAAAAAUCACUGUAAAACAAUAUUCUACAUAAAUUAAGCUUUUUUGAAUUUGUUUUUAAUAAUUAAAGAUAAAUAUUAUACUUACAUGCUAAGAAAUUGUCCAGUAUAUUAAUGCUUGUUAUUAAAGGUAAAAAAUUAAGACAGUGAUUCGAGACUCACCAAGGCAUCACAAUCAGAUCCUCACUUUUGAAAUACACGACCACUCAAGUAGAGAAAUCAUACCAAGGGAAGUCUCAAAUUCCUCUCUCUCGUUUUCUCUCUUCUCUAAGCCUUUUUCCCUACUGCUAGUAUUGAUUAUGCAUUGUUGUAUUGGAUAUGUUAGUGAGGAGUGAGAGAAAGGCCAUACGAGUUUGGUGGUGGUUAUGUGAUGAUUGCGUGAGCAAGGGCAGCUAGUGUGUGGUGGUUUGGUUCUUGACGGAUCAGCAUGAGUGAUGGUGCUUCUGCGAUGAUUGCGUAAGGAGUGAUGUUGGUACUGUUGAUAAUGCAUUAUUGUAUUGGAUAUGUCAAUGAGAUGUGAGAGAAAGGCCAUACGGGUUUGGUGGUGGUUCUGUGAUGAUUGCAUGAGCAAGGGCAACUAGUGUGUGGUGGUUGGUUCGUGACGGAUCGGCAACAGUGAUGAUGGCGUUGCGGAUGGCUAGUAGAGAAGGGUUAGUUUGGUCCAGUUUGUUGUU